AUGGUGUACACAAGCAAGAUAAGCACGCUUCAAAACGGUUUAAUAACGUUUGCUUUUUUGUAGAUGAAUAAGUCAUUGAUUCUUAUCUUGUUUGUCAUCGGACUUCUCGUCCUCACGGAAACAGUGGAUGCGCUUGGGAAAGGUCGCCGACGUCGCCAAUUCUGGGUAUGGGAUGAAGCUCAGGCGGACUUCGACGUUUCAGUGGAAGAUGUCAUGCGGAAUAUACAAGCUCAAGAAGAGAAAACAGAUUGUUGUUAAAGAAGCAGUAGCGUGACAACAAUAAAUUAAAAGAACCGAAAACUUGCUUGUUUAUUUAGUUAUGCUUAAUAAAAAAGACAAGGGCGAUAACCUAUUAAUGUAACCUUUUUGAAAUAUAAACAUUUAACCCUUAACGUAUGUUCUUGGAAAUUUGAAAGUCACCGGCAGGACUUUAUACGUAUGAAAAUUUAACAAGUUCUAAAAAGAUUUUAUAAAAAGUUUAAAUUAUGACUGCUUUUAAUUAUAGAAAUUUAUUUUACAAGAGAGCAGAGCUCUAGUUACUUGCCUUACGUACCGUUAAAAAGCAAUACUGAGGUCGUGUGUUGAAUUAUAAACUUACUGUAGUCAUCAAAUAACAUUCAAUAAGACCAAGCAAUGUAUAUACAUAGCCGACACAGGCGAAAGAAUUCAUUCCACCCACACUAGUAGUUGUUACCUCAUAGCUCCACUGUAGUGGGAUGAACUGUGGUUGAACAAAGGUUCUGCUUCAUGUAUUGAAUAACUCGGCGCUGACUAUGUGGAACCAACAUGGAGAAUGGGUCACCUAAUAAUAAAUAAAGCUUACACCACAUGACUUUGAAGAAAAAUGAUUUGUUGUUUUUACUCCAAACAUGCUUGGACAAAGCACAUUUGUAGUGUUUUGUUAUGUGUACAUGGCUUUUGUGUAUCAGCUUUGUGUUUAGUUUAAAUAAUAUUAGGUGACAAUUAAGUCUUUUUGUGCUUUGGGUUUUUUUUAUAACUCAAAACUUACGGGAUUUGGUAUUUCACCAUUGAUGAACAACAAAGUCCAGAC